rnacentral:lncRNA from 7 species
AUGGGGGAUUUGCGAAGAGAAAACGCGUGAUUUUCGCUUAAAUGGGGGAUUCUCGAAGAAGAAAACGCGUGAUUUUCGCUUAA